rnacentral:rRNA from 1 species
CCUACGGGAGGCAGCAGUGGGGAAUAUUGGACAAUGGGGGGAACCCUGAUCCAGCGACGCCGCGUGAGUGAAGAAGUAUUUCGGUAUGUAAAGCUCUAUCAGCAGGGAAGAAACAAAUGACGGUACCUGACUAAGAAGCCCCGGCUAACUACGUGCCAGCAGCCGCGGUAAUACGUAGGGGGCAAGCGUUAUCCGGAUUUACUGGGUGUAAAGGGAGCGUAGACGGCGAUGCAAGUCUGAAGUGAAAGGCGGGGGCUCAACCCCUGGACUGCUUUGGAAACUGUAUGGCUGGAGUGCAGGAGAGGUAGGUGGAAUUCCUAGUGUAGCGGUGAAAUGCGUAGAUAUUAGGAGGAACACCAGUGGCGAAGGCGGCUUACUGGACUGUAACUGACGUUGAGGCUCGAAAGCGUGGGGAGCAAACAGGAUUAGAUACCCCAGUAGUC